rnacentral:rRNA from 1 species
GACGAACGCUGGCGGCGUGCCUAAUACAUGCAAGUCGAGCGCAGGAAGCUGACGGAACUCUUCGGAGGGAAGGCAGUGGAAUGAGCGGCGGACGGGUGAGUAACACGUAAGGAACCUGCCUCAAGGAUUGGGAUAACUCCGAGAAAUCGGAGCUAAUACCGGAUAGUUCAACGGACCGCAUGGUCCGCUGAUGAAAGGCGCUCCGGCGUCACCUUGAGAUGGCCUUGCGGUGCAUUAGCUAGUUGGUGGGGUAACGACCCACCAAGGCGACGAUGCAUAGCCGACCUGAGAGGGUGAUCGGCCACACUGGGACUGAGACACGGCCCAGACUCCUACGGGAGGCAGCAGUAGGGAAUCUUCCACAAUGGACGAAAGUCUGAUGGAGCAACGCCGCGUGAGUGAUGAAGGUUUUCGGAUCGUAAAACUCUGUUGUAAGGGAAGAACACGUACGAGAGGAAAUGCUCGUACCUUGACGGUACCUUACGAGAAAGCCACGGCUAACUACGUGCCAGCCGCCGCGGUAA